rnacentral:ncRNA from 1 species
AAUCGGCCUACCAUACAAGGGACGUGCUCCCUAAGAUGGUGCCGAGGGAAACGAACCUCAGCAAAUUACUAUUAUAGGAAAGCUGAAACAUCAAGUGUUGGGUGGAGUUUGGUAGGCCAGCAAUGGCUCGAAGAAGUCAGACCCA